GGGGCUGACUGGCUUUGACAGGAAAGUAGUCGGUAGGUAAGCAUGUCGAGCUUUUGUUGUGUUGGCUCGUAAAUCUCAGUACAGCAGCCAUAACUGGCAACAAUUCUUACAGAUUGGCAGCCUAAUCGGGACGAUUAGAUGCCUUUAAUCUCCCGCGAUGCACCUCUGCCCAAUAGGGAGCUGCGGUCGAGGUUUCAUAAAAGAAAUUGGGAUAGCGUACAUUAGUACCUCGAAAUAAACGCGAAUUUUAAUUGGGGGUAAGGAAGCAGUUGGUUCGUGUUGUUCCGGCUGUUUUACCAAAAUUAAUACAACAAUAAACAUGUAGAAAGCUUAUUGAACCUUGCUCUGGACGAGGGUUCGAAUCCCUCCAGCUCCACUU
rnacentral:tmRNA from 1 species